rnacentral:rRNA from 1 species
GCGGCGUGCUUAACACAUGCAAGUCGAGCGAUGAAGCACCUUCGGGUGUGAAUUAGCGGCGAACGGGUGAGGAACACGUGAAGAAUCUGCCUUCAACUCUGGGAUAACUCCGGGAAACCGGGGCUAAUACCGGAUAUGAGCCUUGAUCGCAUGAUCGGGGCUGGAAAGUUUUUCGGUUGAAGAUGACUUCGCGGCCUAUCAGCUUGUUGGUGAGGUAAUGGCUCACCAAGGCGACGACGGGUAGCCGGCCUGAGAGGGCGACCGGCCACACUGGGACUGAGACACGGCCCAGACUCCUACGGGAGGCAGCAGUGGGGAAUAUUGGGCAAUGGAGGAAACUCUGACCCAGCGACGCCGCGUGAGGGAUGAAGGCCUUCGGGUUGUAAACCUCUUUCAGUAGGGAAGAAGCGAAAGUGACGGUACCUACAGAAGAAGCACCGGCUAACUAUGUGCCAGCAGCCGCGGUAAUACAUAGGGUGCAAGCGUUGUCCGGAAUUAUUGGGCGUAAAAAGCUCGUAGGUGGGUCGAUACGUCGGAUGUGAAAAUCAGGGGCUCAACCCCUGACCUGCAUUCGAUACGGUCGAGCUAGAGUUUGGUAGGGGAGACUGGAAUUCCUGGUGUAACGGUGGAAUGCGCAAAUAUCAGGAGGAACACCGAUGGCGAAGGCAGGUCUCUGGGCCAAUACUGACACUGAGGAGCGAAAGCGUGGGGAGCGAACAGGAUUAGAUACCCUGGUAGUCCACGCCGUAAACGGUGGGCGCUAGUUGUGCGAACCUUCCACGGUU